ensembl:snoRNA
CAUCUGUGAUGAUCCUAUCCCGAACCUGAUUUCCUUGCUGAAAAACCUACGGAUCCGGCAUCUGAGAU